rnacentral:lncRNA from 1 species
CCAUGGUUACAAGCUCUAUAGCUGCAUCUAUGUGUUAGGAGCAUGAAGACCAAUGUGGAAUGGAUGCACUGAGCUGAUUAUGAAUUUAGCCCUGAUGAAGACUUGUGUUGCUGUCAUGAUAUGAAAGAUUCCAGUAAUGAACGCACUUGAGUUGAUUCAAGCACGCUUCCAUGGUCAUGAGCUCUGUGGUUGCAUCUGUGUGUUAGGAGCAUGCAGACCAAUAGUGAUAAUCUCGAGGUGAUUUAUGCAUUCUUCCAUGGCCACCAGCCUUAUGAUUGCAUCUGUGCGUCACAGCUUAGAGAUCAAUAAUGGAUGCAACAAGCUCUUUGAAUCAUUCUGUUGGGAUCAAGAUUGUUGUGUUCCCUCUGUUUGGAAAGAGACCAAGAAUGGAUACGCUCAGGUGAUUUAAGCAGUCUUCCAUGGCCACGAGCUCUGUGGUUGCCUCUGUAUAUUAAGAGCACAGAGAUUAAAAAUGGCCCCAUUCCAGCUGAUAUAAGCACUCUUCCAUGGCAUGUGCACUAUGGUUGGUUCUCUGUGUUAGGAGCACACAAACCAUUGCGAGUAUGCAUUCAUUUCCUCUCUUUACAAGAAUGGGUGCACUUGAGCCGAUUGAAACAUUCCUCCUUGCAUCUUUCUUCUGUGAUUGCAUCUAUUUGUUAGUAGCAUAGAGACCAAUAAUAGAUGGCUUGUGCUGAUGGAAGGAUUCCUCCCUGGUGACAUGCUGUGUCUGCCUCUUGAUUGGGAGCACGCAGACCUACAAUGAUGCACUUUUUAUGAUUUGAGAAUUCCUUCAUGGUCACGUGCUCUGUUUUUAUCAUGGUUGGGAGCCUGCAGAGCAAUAAGGGACAUGCCUUUGCUGAUUUGAGGAUUCCUCUGAGGUUGGGAGCUAAGUUUGCAUCAUGCUUAGAAAGGAGUGUGCAGACCUGUAAUGAUUGCACUUUGCUGAUUGAAGGAUUCCUUCAAGUCCAUGUGCUCCACUUGCACCAUUUUUAGGAUGGAGCCUGGAGACCUAUAAUGAACAACUUGUGCUGUGUUAAGGAUUCCUCCAUGAUCACGCGCCCCAUUUGUACACCAUGCUUGGGAAGGUGCAUGCAGACCAAUGUUAGUAAUAGUCAAAAUUCCUGUGUCGGUUUGUGUGGUUUGCUAAACAGGACUCAAUGUAUCAUGAAACAGUGUAUUAUAUAGUCAACUAUGGUCAACUAUGUCCCAGUGAUAUUUAUGAGAGGGAUCUGAAGUAUUUAUUGAUAAUGCAUAUAUGAAAAACGGAGAAGAAUUAAUGAAACAGAUAUAUCUGUGUUAGAAUGAUUCUGUAUAAAGAUAGGGAAUAUCAAGUCUGUUCUUAGUGUUUUGUGAAUCACAGAGUGUAAAAUUAUUCCCAGUGAAUUAAUGAAUAAAUUUAAAGACAACAUAGAAAUGAAUGCAGAAAAAGAGGGUCAACCCUGGAUCGAUGAUGAGCACUGGUGGAGUAUGAGUCACAUACGAUGAAUACGUGUCUGGAACUCUGAGGUCCAUCGCAGAAGUCAGUUUCCUCUGUUUCAACUAACUCUGUAGAUAGAUGACAAGAAUAGAGAAUGAAUUUUUUUUGUUUAUGAGUUUUUAUUUUAUAAUUGGUUCAAUGAAAGAAUAAAACAUAUAUGAAUAAAUAAAUAAGUUAUGCAUUGUCCAAUUAUAAAAAUGUGUGAUGAGGUGUAUUUAAUACGUAUUUAAAUUGAUGAAAGCCAAAAAUAAAUCUAACAUACCUAACCUUUUUGGCCAAUAAUGAAGAGAUAGUAUAAAUUAUAUGCUAUUUUCGUGUUCUUGGUUAGUGGCAAGUUCAAAGUUGUUCAUACUUCAAAUAACGAUUGCCUAAAUGUUUAACUACAGAUAGGUAAAAAGGAAAGAUCAACAAUGAGAAAAAUCACAUUUUUGUUAUUAUUUUCUCUGCUCUGCACUCAUCAGAAUGGACGUACUUGUGAUGAUUUAAAGAUGCCUCCAAGGUCACGUGCUCUGUUUGCACCAUGCUUAGGAAGGAGCGUACAGACCAAAAAUGGAUGAAUUGUGCACCUUGAAAAGUUCUUCCAUGGUCACCUGAGGCAUCUGCGUCAUGAUUAGGCUCCGGAUGACUAAUAAUGGACGUACUUGUUCUGAUUUGAGGACUUCUUCAUGGUCACAUGUUCUGUUUGCACCAUGCUUAGGAAGGAGCAUGUGUACCAAUGUGAGUGACAGUCAGAUUUCUUGCAUUUCUUUGGGUGGUUUAUUUAAGAGGACUCAAUGUACUGUGAAUAAACAUGUAAUAUAAUCAAAGAUGGUGAAUUUUAUCUAGUGAGGGAUAUUGGAGUCAAAAGAAGUAUUAUAUUGAUAAUUCACAUAUGAAAAACAGGAUAACUCAUGAAACAUUAAUAUAGGAAUUAUUUGGGAUAUCUUUUUGGGUUUUGUGAGUCAUAAGGUUUAAAGUUAUUAUUAGUAAAUUAAUGAAUUAAUCAACAGACAAUGUAGAAAAUAACAGAGAAAAGAAGGGCCAAUCCUGGAUCGAUGAUGACUACUGGUAGCAUGAGUCAUAUACAGUGAAUACAUGUCUGGAACUCUGAGGUCUGUCUCAAAAGAUAUCUAGUCUAUUUCCUGUUUCAAAUGAUCCUACAGACAGAUGGCAAAAAAUAGAAUGUAUAUGUGUUUGGUUUUCAUGUUUAUGAAUUUUUAUUUUACAUUUAUGAUUGGCUCAAUCAGAGAAUCAGUUAAUAAAUAUACAAAUAAAGAUGAAUAAGGGCCGGGCAUGGUGGCUCACACCUGUAAUCUCAGCACUUUGGGAGGCCAACACGGGUAGAUCACUUGAUGACAGGAGAUCGAGACCUACCUGGCCAACGUGGCGAAACCCUAUCUCUACUAAAAAUACAAAAAUUAGCCAGGCAUGGCGGCAUGUGCCUCUAAUCCGAGGACUUGGGUGGCUGAGGCACAUGGAUUGCUUGAACCCGGGUUUCAAAAAUUGCUUGAACCUGGGAGGCUGCAGUGAUCCGAGAUCACGUCACUGCAGCUUGGCAACAGAGCAAGAUUCUGUGUCAAAAAGAAAAAAAUAAAAA